GAAAUAAAAUAAUCACAGAUAGAAAAAUGGGUACUACUGGAGAAAGGAUCCCCGCGGAAUUUCGGCGCCCCUUUUAUCUUAUAACCCUAGUUAAGGGCUUCUGCGUUCAGUGGUGGAGGUCCCAUGCGUGGGAGGUGCCCCGUUCUCAGGUUGUGGGGCCCCGGAGUUGGGGUUCGGAGUCACGUUUUUUGCGAUUUUCUGCGGAACUUUUAGAGAUGGUCGGAUGCUUUGAACGGUUCUAGACUUGUAUUGUGAUUCCGAAUCGAGUGCAAUCAGUUUGAAUAGGCUGCGACUUGCCUUUGCGAUGUAACGUGGUUUUUUCCACAUGCGGCGAUUUGUCUGUUCCGAGGCUUGGCGGGGUUCCUGUUUAUCAUUUUUUUGUUUUGUUUUGUAUGCAAAACAUCUUAUUAAUUGU
rnacentral:lncRNA from 1 species